GCCCAGACUCCUACGGGAGGCAGCAGUGAGGAAUAUUGGUCAAUGGGCGCGAGCCUGAACCAGCCAAGUCGCGUGAGGGAUGACGGCCCUACGGGUUGUAAACCUCUUUUGUCGGGGAGCAAAUUCCGCCACGUGUGGCGGAGUCGAGAGUACCCGAAGAAAAAGCAUCGGCUAACUCCGUGCCAGCAGCCGCGGUAAUACGGAGGAUGCGAGCGUUAUCCGGAUUUAUUGGGUUUAAAGGGUGCGUAGGCGGAAGGUUAAGUCAGCGGUCAAAUGUCGGUGCUAAACACCGGCCUGCCGUUGAAACUGGUCUUCUUGAGUGAGCGAGAAGUAUGCGGAAUGCGUGGUGUAGCGGUGAAAUGCAUAGAUAUCACGCAGAACUCCGAUUGCGAAGGCAGCAUACCGGCGCUCAACUGACGCUGAGGCACGAAAGCGUGGGGAUCGAACAGGAUUAGAUACCCCAGUA
rnacentral:rRNA from 1 species